rnacentral:rRNA from 1 species
AGUGUCGCAGGGAAACCGAUAAACACACCGCCUGGGGAGUACGACCGCAAGGUUAAAACUCAAACGAAUUGACGGGGACCCGCACAAGUAGUGGAGCAUGUGGUUUAAUUCGAAGAUACGCGCAGAACCUUACCAACACUUGACAUGUUCGUCGCGACUCUAAGAGAUUAGAGUUUUCGGUUCGGCCGGACGAAACACAGGUGCUGCAUGGCUGUCGUCAGCUCGUGUCGUGAGAUGUUGGGUUAAGUCCCGCAACGAGCGCAACCCUCACUUUUAGUUGCCAUCAUUAAGUUGGGCACUCUGAAAGAACUGCCAGUGAUAAGCUGGAGGAAGGUGGGGAUGACGUCAAGUCCUCAUGGCCCUUACGUGUUGGGCUACACACGUGCUACAAUGGCAUCUACAACAGGAAGCAAAACGGCAACGUUAAGCAAAUCCCGAAAAGAUGCCUCAGUUCGGAUUGCACUCUGCAACUCGAGUGCAUGAAGCUGGAAUUACUAGUAAUCGUGGAUCAGCGUGCCACGGUGAAUGCGUUCCCGGGUCUUGUACACACCGCCCGUCACACCAUGGGAGUUGGUUCUACCUUAAGGCAAGGUUUCAAACCCUUGACCACGGUAUAGUCAGCGACUGGGGUGAAGUCGUAACAAGGUACC